rnacentral:rRNA from 1 species
UACGGAAGGUCCUAGCGUUGUCCGGAAUCAUUGGGCGUAAAGGGUACGUAGGCGGAUAUGCAAGUUAGAAGUGAAAUCCUAUAGCUCAACUCUAGUAAGCUUUUAAAACUGCUCAUCUUGAGGUAUGGAAGGGAAAGUGGAAUUCCUAGUGUAGCGGUGAAAUGCGCAGAUAUUCGGAAGAAUACCGUUGGCGAGGGCGACUUUCUGGACAUAAAUUGACGCUGAGGUACGAAAGCGUGGGUAGCAAACAGG